rnacentral:rRNA from 1 species
AGAGUUUGAUCCUGGCUCAGAACGAACGCUGGCGGCGCGUCUUAAGCAUGCAAGUCGGGCGGCAAGCUGCCUUCGGGCAGCCUAGAGCGGCGGACUGGUGAGUAACGCGUGGGUGACGCACCCCCUUGACGGGGACAGCCCGCAGAAAUGCGGGGUAAUACCGGAUAAGGUUCCCGGGGUCGGAGCCCGGGGAGGAAAGGAGCUAUUGCUCCGCGAGGGGAGCGGCCCGCGUCCCAUCAGCUUGAUGGCGGUGUAACGGACCACCAUGGCGAUGACGGGUACCCGGACUGAGAGGUUGGCCGGGCACAUUGGGACUGAGAUACGGCCCAGACUCCUACGGGAGGCAGCAGCUAAGAAUAUUCCGCAAUGGGCGAAAGCCUGACGGAGCGACGCCGCGUGGACGAUGAAGGCCGGAAGGUUGCAGAGUCCUUUGGCGCGCGAGGAAGGAGAGCGGGACUGGAAAGCCCGCUCGGUGACUGUAGCGCGAGAACAAGCACCGGCUAAUUACGUGCCAGCAGCCGCGGUAACACGUAAGGUGCGAGCGUUGUUCGGAAUUAUUGGGCGUAAAGGGCAUGUAGGCGGCCAGGUAAGUCGGGCGUGAAAUCCCGGGGCUCAACCCCGGGGCCGCGCCCGAUACUGCGUGGCUCGAGUCGGCGAGGCGGAGGCGGAAUUCCUGGUGUAGGGGUGAAAUCUGUAGAUAUCAGGAAGAACACCGGUGGCGAAGGCAGCCUCCGAGCGCGCGACUGACGCUGAGGUGCGAAGGUGCGGGGAGCAAACAGGAUUAGAUACCCUGGUAGUCCGCACAGUAAACGAUGCGCACUUGGUGUCCGGCCAUGAGGCUGGGUGCCGGAGCAAACGCGAUAAGUGCGCCGCCUGGGGAGUAUGCCCGCAAGGGUGAAACUCAAAGGAAUUGACGGGGGCCCGCACAAGCGGUGGAGCAUGUGGUUUAAUUCGAU